GAAGGAGAUCGAGGUCGUGGGGACGGGGGAAGACGAAGGUGGAGGGGGAGGAUGGUUCUUUCGUGCUCAACAUCGGGUGGUCGGCGCUGUGGUUCCAGACGAGAGAUGUAGCCCGUGAGCUUGAUUAGCUGUAAAAAGCAGUUGUUCUUUUGGACUUGGUCUCUGAACGCCGGGUGUGUGAGGUUGCUGUGUAUUCUUCGCCUGUGCACUGUAAUACAUAAUUUAGCCAGCAGGAAGGUGGGUUCAGUUCAGCUCUUUUCUUGCAGUAGUAUAUUCAGUGUGAUGGAAUUCAGUAAAACUUGUCAGUACUAGUUCUUAUCUGUAAUAUUAUGCGACAGAAUUUUAUUACUGCCA